GCGGAAUUCUUGAAGUAGCGGUGAAAUGCGUAGAUAUCAAGAAGAACACCGGUGGCGAAGGCGGCUCUCUGGACAGUUACUGACGUGAGGUACGAAAGCCGGGGGAGCGAAGAGGAUUAGAUACCCUCGUAGUCCCGGCCGUAAACGAUGUGCACUUGGUGUGGGAAGGAAUUAUCCCCUUUCCGUACCGGAGCUAACGCGUUAAGUGCACCGCCUGGGGAGUACGGCCGCAAGGCUAAAACUCAAAGGAAUUGACGGGGGCCCGCACAAGCGGUGGAGCAUGUGGCUUAAUUCGAUGCAACGCGAAGAACCUUACCUGGGUUUGACAUGCCCGUCGUAUUCUCCUGAAAGGGAGAAGUCAGCUCGGCUGGACGGUGCACAGGUGCUGCAUGGCUGUCGUCAGCUCGUGCCGUGAUGUGUUGGGUUAAGUCCCGCAACGAGCGCAACCCUUAUGUUUAGUUGCCACUCCCUUCGGGGAAGCACUCUAGACAGACUGCCCGUGACAAGCGGGAGGAAGGGGGGGAUGACGUCAAGUCAGUAUGGUCCUUAUACCCAGGGCUGCACACGUGCUACAAUGGCCGGUACAGAGGGUCGCGAUGCCGCGAGGCGAAGCAAAUCCCCAAAACCGGUCUUAGUUCGGAUCGUAGUCCGCAAUUCGACUACGUGAAGUUGGAAUCGCUAGUAAAUGCGUAUCAGCAA
rnacentral:rRNA from 1 species